rnacentral:rRNA from 1 species
AACGUAGGUUCCGAGCGUUAUCCGGAAUUACUGGGCGUAAAGCGCGCGCAGGCGGCUUUCUAAGUCCGUCGGUGAAAGACCGGGGCUCAACCCCGUGUCAGCCAUGGAUACUGGGAGGCUGGAGACAGGUAGAGGCAAGCGGAAUUCCGGGUGUAGCGGUGGAAUGCGUAGAUAUCCGGAAGAACACCGGAGGCGAAGGCGGCUUGCUGGACCUGGUCUGACGCUGAGGCGCGAAAGCGUGGGGAGCGAACAGG